rnacentral:rRNA from 1 species
GAGUUUGAUCAUGGCUCAGAUUGAACGCUGGCGGCAUGCCUUACACAUGCAAGUCGAACGGCAGCACGGGAGCUUGCUCCUGGUGGCGAGUGGCGAACGGGUGAGUAAUGCAUCGGAACGUAUCCUGGAGUGGGGGAUAACGUAGCGAAAGUUACGCUAAUACCGCAUAUUCUGUGAGCAGGAAAGCGGGGGACCUUCGGGCCUCGCGCUCUUGGAGCGGCCGAUGUCGGAUUAGCUAGUUGGUGAGGUAAAGGCUCACCAAGGCGACGAUCCGUAGCAGGUCUGAGAGGAUGAUCUGCCACACUGGAACUGAGACACGGUCCAGACUCCUACGGAGGCAGCAGUGGGGAAUUUUGGACAAUGGGGGCAACCCUGAUCCAGCCAUGCCGCGUGAGUG